AGCAAGCUGGCAGUCUUACAGCACUUAGAAGUAACAGUGUAGGCUCUGAAAAACAGUGUGAGGUGUGGAAGUCUACCCCAGGACUCAUUGAGCAAGUCACAAUUACUCGGAAGUGACACAGGCACCUUAUACACUGCUGAGCACUGGAAAUACCUGUGAGCACUUCUGUGAAUACUUCAGAAGCUUCCACCACUGUUCUGUUUUUUUAAUCAGAACAACAAGAAAAGAGACAUUAUCAGGGUGAAUGAAGUCUAUACACAAGGAACAGCAUGAUGUACAAGGCAAAAAGAAAGAACAUGGUUCAGGGAAGUAAAGGAGGAAGAGCAUGUUACCAAAGUAUAAAGCAUAUGUGAAAUAUCCUUCCUACUAGAUUGGUUAUAUCUUCAAAACUCUGCUCAAGAAUUACUUCUGGUGUGAAGCUGUCCAUGGAUGAGACUACUUGGCUACCUGUGUCUAAUUGUAUUUAGUGCCUGUGGAAUGAACUGUAUUGGAAGAACCCGCCUAAUAUAGAAAAAUGAAUAUAUUUCACUUUCUACACUACAGAAAAUGGAAGAAAUUACAGGGGAAAAUUUAAGCAUAUCAAAUGCAGGCUACCGAUGUGGAAAAAUAAAUCUGCCCAUUUAAUAAUAAAAGAAAAGGUGGUGAUUUCAAAAGAUUUCGCAUCAUAGGAAGACCACAGCAUGGACUCUGUUUCUAUGCUUGAAAACCAGAAUUGAGGGGCACCUUGACAGUUCAGUGGGUUAAGCCUCUGCCUUCAGCUCAGGUCAUGAUCUCAGGGACCUGAGAUUGAGUCCCUCUUGGGCCUCUCUGUUCAGCAGGGAGCCUACUUCCCACCCCAUCUCUCUGCCUGC